rnacentral:lncRNA from 1 species
UUAGGCUCAACACAUUCCACCCUUAGCAUAAUCGUGGUUUUAGCCUUUGUAUUAGUCCGUUUUCACGCUGCUGAUAAAGACAUACCCAAGACUGGGCAAUUUACAAAAGAAAGAGGUUUAUUGGACUUUUAGUUCCACGUGGCUGGGGAGGCCUCACAAUUAUGGUGGAAAGUGAAAAGUACGUCUCACAUGGUGGCAAACAAGAGAGCUUUUGCAGGCACACUCCCUUUUUUAAAACCAUCGGAUCUCGUGAGACUUAUUCACAAUAAUGAGAACAGCACAGGAGAGACGUGCCCCCAUGAUUCAAUUACUUCCUGCCGGGUCCCUCCCACAACAUGUGGGAAUUCAAGAGGAGAUCUGGGUGGGGACACAGCCAAACCGCAUCAGCCUUCUUUUGGAAAACUGACUUUGUCUGCCCACCACAGCCACUCUGCUUCCAAUCAUAGCACCUCUUUCCCUGGGCAUACAGGGAAUCCUUGCCCUUCUCAUACUGUGUCACUUUUGUAAGGCUGAUGCUUACCACACUUCUUACACAAGGUUCUUUGGGUUUUAGGCACAUUGACCAUCUCCGCAGCAGAGCUGCCCUGUCUAUACGAUGAAAACAGGAAACUGCAUCUGCAACCCUCACCUCGUGUCACUCACACAUAACUGGAUUUUUCUAUUUUUUCAAAAAUCAUUGGGAUGUUGACAGGGGUUGCACUGAAUCUGUAGAAUACUUUGGUAGUACUGACAUCUCACCUAAAUUAAGUCUUCCAAUCCAUGAACAUGAGAAAUCUUUCCAGUUGUUUAUAUAUUCUUUAAUUUCUUUCAGUAAUAUUUUGUAGUUUUCAGUUUACAAAUCUUCUCUUUGGUUAAGACAACUCCUAAGUAUUUUACUCUUUUUGAUGCUAUUGUAAAUGGAAUUACUGGCCAGGUGCGGUGGCUCACACCUGUAAUCCCAGCACUUUGGGAGGCCGAGGCAGGUGGAUCACGAGGUCAGGAGUUCAAGACCAAACUGGCCAACAUGGUGAAACUCUGUCGCUACUAAAAAUACAAAAAUUAGCUCGGCAUAGUGGCAUGAGCCGAUAAUCCCAGCUACUCGAGAGGCUGAGGCAGGAGAAUCGCUCAAACCCAGGAGGCAGAGGUUGCAGUGAGCCGAGAUCGUGCCACUGCACUCCAGCCUGGGCGAUAGAGCGAGACUCUGUCUCAAAAAAUUCCAGAUCAGAACUCUAGGAGAAAAUGAAUUUCCCACCACCUGUCUAUCAAUCAAAUACUUACUGAAUGACUAUCAUAUUGCCAACACUAUGCUAGGCACUAAAGAUACAAAGAUCAAAAUACUGAAUCCCUACCUUCAAAGAGCUCAUCAUCUAAGGUGGUAACAUGCAACACAUGGGGCAUUAGGGAAUAUGUACUGUGCUCCAGGUCAGGGUUAAGGUAGUAAGGAAGACAUCAGGAAAGGAAGCAGUAACCACUGAGUUGAAUCUUAAAGGAUGAAUAGGAGGUAGAGGUUAUAAUGUGUUGGGCACUGUGCUAAGUGUUCAAGCUACAAAGAUUAAUCAGAGGAAGUCUCUGCACAUAGUUCUGUAAGGGAAAAAGCCACAUAAAAAAACAUUUUCAAAACAAUGAGAUUAAAAGUUUUAAGACAGACAUGUUAUAAAAAUAGAGGAGAACAAGCUCAGUAGGGAAGGGGAAUAGAGCAAAGGAAAAGCUACACAAAGAAACUCAUGUCUGAACUGAAUCAUGAAGGAUAAGCAGAUAUUCAAUAGGUGGGCAACGCAGGGAGGAGGGCAUUCUAGGCAGGGAGAAUAGUAUGAGCAUUGGAACAAAGGUACCAAGUGUGACUUGAGAGAGCCCAAUGUGAUUAGGAACUUGCAUGUGGCUUAGUUUCACUGAAAUGUAGGCUAUGAAACAAAAAAGAGGUUAGAAGGGAAAUAAAGUAAG